rnacentral:lncRNA from 1 species
AUUUUUGUCCCAAAGAAACAAGGCAAUUGUUUCAUCUUUAAUUACAAGUCUGUGUUUAGGCAGGAAUAAGGAAAAGGGCAAAGAAAUAAAAAGAUCUGGUACCUCCCACGCAAGCCUGCCUCUUCUCAUAAGGAAGAGCUUUAACCCUGCUCAGAGCCCUUAUAGCCCCUGCCCUGGGAUGUGUGCACAGGGUGAUCAGCUUAACCCUAGCUAUGCUGGCUAAGAAACUGAGGGCCAUGAUGAUGGACUGGCUCACUCAGCCAUAGCACUGCCUCAGAGCCCUGCCUUGUGCUGCGUUAAGCAUACUGUGGGAUUUCUACAACCCCCAUGUUCCAUGUACUCUGUUGCUAUCUAAUGUUUAAAAGGAGCUUUGAGAUGUAGUUUGCCUGUUUAAAAUACAUAAAGUAGCACAGGGCUCUUUUUUGAAGCUGAGAAUUGAACCAAGGACCUUGAACACCUUAAGUGAGCAUCCUGCCACUGAGCUAUGCUCCAGCCUUCCAUCUGGUUUCAUUUAUUCACUUUUCAGUGGAUAGCCCAGGCUGGCCCCCAACUCACCAUCUUCUUGCCUCUACCUCCAAAGCACUAGAUUAUAGGCAUAGGACACCAUACCUAGCUACAUACAUUUUUAAAAGCUGUCCUUUGAGACCACAGCUUCUGGAUGUAUCUAAACCAGCAAUACAAUAAUUGUGUUUUAUAUUAGUCUCAGUUUCAAAACUGUUCUAUAAAUUUAAAGAGCUGUCUGCUUACUGCACUAUUCUGAUCCAGAAUGAGAGGCAUUGCUGAUUGUAUAUGUUUGAUUUCUUAUUCAUGAAAUUUACUUCUUAAGAAAAACUGUGUUUCUGUUUCAAAUAUUUAAUCAGAUUUUCUGUAACUGGUCCCUGUGUUUUGCCAGCAUAGUGAUAAAUCAUGCACAUAAUAAAGUUUGGGAGGCAGGCAGGAUCCCUAAUAACUUCCAGUUGAUGAAAAGAGAAUGGGAGCUGAGGGCACGGCUCGGUGGUAGAGUUUCUGUCCGUCAUGCACAGGUUCCAGGUUCAAACCCAGAACCAAACAGAAAACAAGUGGUAAAUAGAUAUCCUCUUCAGUGUUAAACCUGAGGCUUAACAUCUAUGCCCACAUGGGUGUGGUAGUGCACACCUGCAAUCCCAGCGCUAAGGAGGCAGAGGCAGGAGGAUGGCUGGAAGGUCGAAGCCUGAGCUACAUAGUAAGUUCCAGGCUAGUCAAAGUUACAUCUUGUCUGAAAAAUAAGGCAUGGCCACUUACCCUGGAAUGAAACAGAAAAUAAGAGUAAGUAAAUGAGUAAUAAGACCUUCAAAGAAGGUCUGGACAGACCGUCAUACUAUCUCUAGCCUGUUUCUCUAGCUCCGUGGUGAUGCAUGCUGUGUGAGAUUGUAGUGGCUGUUUCUGACUUUGGGAAUUUGGAAGUAACCUGUACAGCCAUCAGAAAGGUACUAGAGCUCAGCAUUCAGAUUCCCUCUGGUUCUCCUCCUGAAAUGUCUUAGUGCUGAUCCCACAACCGCAUUCAGUCUAUAGUGAAGGAUGGUUAUGGUCAGUUUGAGGUGAAGGACGGCUGUGGUCAGUCCACGGUGAAGGACAGCUAUGGUCAGGCCCCUCGGUUCAUGUCCAAGGAUGAGGCUGACCAGACUGCAGAUGGGGAGACUCAGAGUGGCUGCGGCUGAGUAGAACCACUUUUGGGAUCUGACCUUCCACCUACAUAUGAAGGUUCUGCUUUCCUCUUUCUGCUACCUUCUCCUGCCUCUCUGUCCACACAAAAUGGUAAUGGCAGAGCCAUAUUACCAUGUAGGUAACAAAGUAUUUAAGGGUAAGACUGGGCUCAGGAACAGCUAGGCCAUGGGGCAGCAUCCUCUCACAGCCAUCCUGCUUCUGUAGUUUGAGACUGUAUUGGACUAAGAAUCAAUUUGGGGGCUGACAAAGGGUAACAGCCUGCCUCUCCCAGGAACAGAGACCAUGCUGUGUUCUAUGUCUUUUGCUUGAGGGUUUGCAGACAAACAUUCUAUUGGUAAACAGUAUUACUUUGCUUCUCAUUUUCUGGAAUUUUCCUUGACAUACACUUAGCUCAGGACCUUUGUAUUAGUUAUUCUCAUGUUACUGUGAUAGAACACCAGGACCAAGGCAACUUACCAAAGGCAGAGUUCCAGGACUAGAGAGAUGGGCCAGCAGUUAAGAGCACUGGCUGCUCUUCCAGAGGUCCUGAGUUCAAUUCCCUGCAACCACUUGGUGGCUUACAACCAUCUAUAAUGAGUUCUGAUGCCCUCUUCUGGCAUGCAGGUAUACAUGGAUAUACAGAAAUGUGUCUUUAAUAAUAAUAAUGUCUAAAAACAACACAAAAGGCAGAGUUUCUUUGACUUUCCGUCCCAGGGUCAAGUCAGUUAUGUCAGGACACGGUGUGGCAGGAGGCAGGAAUUUGGCAAGACUACUACCUUCAAAGCCCGUCUCCCUGAAGGACUUCCUCCAGCAAGGCAAUACCUUCUAACCCUCCCCAAACAGCACUGCCAGCUAGGGACCAAGUGCUCAAACACCUGGGCCUGUAGGGGCAUCGCUCAUCCACACAGCACAGCCCUUGGGUGGUUGGGACCUAGGACCUUGUUCCCAAGUCCCUUAAGCGAUACCGUUUGAGCCACUGAAAUCUCCUGCAAACCCUUGUCAGUUUUCUUCCUGAUACUGACCUUUCUGUGUUCAUUUCUGUGUGGUUU